rnacentral:rRNA from 1 species
AACGAACGCUGGCGGCAGGCUUAACACAUGCAAGUCGAGCGCCCGCAAGGGAGCGGCGGACGGGUGAGUAACGCGUGGGAAUCUACCCAGUUCUACGGAAUAACCCAGGGAAACUUGGACUAAUACCGUAUACGCCCUACGGGGGAAAGAUUUAUCGGAAUUGGAUGAGCCCGCGUUGGAUUAGCUAGUUGGUGAGGUAAUGGCUCACCAAGGCGACGGUCCAUAGCUGGUCUGAGAGGAUGAUCAGCCACACUGGGACUGAGACACGGCCCAGACUCCUACGGGAGGCAGCAGUGGGGAAUAUUGGACAAUGGGCGCAAGCCUGAUCCAGCCAUGCCGCGUGAGUGAUGAAGGCCUUAGGGUUGUAAAGCUCUUUCAGUGGGGAAGAUAAUGACGGUACCCACAGAAGAAGCCCCGGCUAACUUCGUGCCAGCAGCCGCCGCAG